rnacentral:rRNA from 1 species
GGGUUGUGAGGUUAAGCGACUAAGCGUACACGGUGGAUGCCCUGGCAGUCAGAGGCGAUGAAGGACGUGCUAAUCUGCGAUAAGCGUCGGUAAGGUGAUAUGAACCGUUAUAACCGGCGAUUUCCGAAUGGGGAAACCCAGUGUGAUUCGUCACACUAUCAUUAACUGAAUCCAUAGGUUAAUGAGGCGAACCGGGGGAACUGAAACAUCUAAGUACCCCGAGGAAAAGAAAUCAACCGAGAUUCCCCCAGUAGCGGCGAGCGAACGGGGAGCAGCCCAGAGCCUGAAUCAGUGUGUGUGUUAGUGGAAGCGUCUGGAAAGGCGCGCGAUACAGGGUGACAGCCCCGUACACAAAAAUGCACAUAUUGUGAGCUCGAUGAGUAGGGCGGGACACGUGGUAUCCUGUCUGAAUAUGGGGGGCCCAUCCUCCAAGGCUAAAUACUCCUGACUGACCGAUAGUGAACCAGUACCGUGAGGGAAAGGCGAAAAGAACCCCGGCGAGGGGAGUGAAAAAGAACCUGAAACCGUGUACGUACAAGCAGUGGGAGCACGCUUAGGCGUGUGACUGCGUACCUUUUGUAUAAUGGGUCAGCGACUUAUAUUCUGUAGCAAGGUUAACCGAAUAGGGGAGCCGAAGGGAAACCGAGUCUUAACUGGGCGUUAAGUUGCAGGGUAUAGACCCGAAACCCGGUGAUCUAGCCAUGGGCAGGUUGAAGGUUGGGUAACACUAACUGGAGGACCGAACCGACUAAUGUUGAAAAAUUAGCGGAUGACUUGUGGCUGGGGGUGAAAGGCCAAUCAAACCGGGAGAUAGCUGGUUCUCCCGAAAGCUAUUUAGGUAGCGCCUCGUGAAUUCAUCUCCGGGGGUAGAGCACUGUUUCGGCAAGGGGGUCAUCCCGACUUACCAACCCGAUGCAAACUGCGAAUACCGGAGAAUGUUAUCACGGGAGACACACGGCGGGUGCUAACGUCCGUCGUGAAGAGGGAAACAACCCAGACCGCCAGCUAAGGUCCCAAAGUCAUGGUUAAGUGGGAAACGAUGUGGGAAGGCCCAGACAGCCAGGAUGUUGGCUUAGAAGCAGCCAUCAUUUAAAGAAAGCGUAAUAGCUCACUGGUCGAGUCGGCCUGCGCGGAAGAUGUAACGGGGCUAAACCAUGCACCGAAGCUGCGGCAGCGACGCUUAUGCGUUGUUGGGUAGGGGAGCGUUCUGUAAGCCUGCGAAGGUGUGCUGUGAGGCAUGCUGGAGGUAUCAGAAGUGCGAAUGCUGACAUAAGUAACGAUAAAGCGGGUGAAAAGCCCGCUCGCCGGAAGACCAAGGGUUCCUGUCCAACGUUAAUCGGGGCAGGGUGAGUCGACCCCUAAGGCGAGGCCGAAAGGCGUAGUCGAUGGGAAACAGGUUAAUAUUCCUGUACUUGGUGUUACUGCGAAGGGGGGACGGAGAAGGCUAUGUUGGCCGGGCGACGGUUGUCCCGGUUUAAGCGUGUAGGCUGGUUUUCCAGGCAAAUCCGGAAAAUCAAGGCUGAGGCGUGAUGACGAGGCACUACGGUGCUGAAGCAACAAAUGCCCUGCUUCCAGGAAAAGCCUCUAAGCAUCAGGUAACAUCAAAUCGUACCCCAAACCGACACAGGUGGUCAGGUAGAGAAUACCAAGGCGCUUGAGAGAACUCGGGUGAAGGAACUAGGCAAAAUGGUGCCGUAACUUCGGGAGAAGGCACGCUGAUAUGUAGGUGAAGUCCCUUGCGGAUGGAGCUGAAAUCAGUCGAAGAUACCAGCUGGCUGCAACUGUUUAUUAAAAACACAGCACUGUGCAAACACGAAAGUGGACGUAUACGGUGUGACGCCUGCCCGGUGCCGGAAGGUUAAUUGAUGGGGUCAGCGCAAGCGAAGCUCUUGAUCGAAGCCCCGGUAAACGGCGGCCGUAACUAUAACGGUCCUAAGGUAGCGAAAUUCCUUGUCGGGUAAGUUCCGACCUGCACGAAUGGCGUAAUGAUGGCCAGGCUGUCUCCACCCGAGACUCAGUGAAAUUGAACUCGCUGUGAAGAUGCAGUGUACCCGCGGCAAGACGGAAAGACCCCGUGAACCUUUACUAUAGCUUGACACUGAACAUUGAGCCUUGAUGUGUAGGAUAGGUGGGAGGCUUUGAAGUGUGGACGCCAGUCUGCAUGGAGCCGGCCUUGAAAUACCACCCUUUAAUGUUUGAUGUUCUAACGUGGACCCGUGAUCCGGGUUGCGGACAGUGUCUGGUGGGUAGUUUGACUGGGGCGGUCUCCUCCUAAAGAGUAACGGAGGAGCACGAAGGUUGGCUAAUCCUGGUCGGACAUCAGGAGGUUAGUGCAAUGGCAUAAGCCAGCUUGACUGCGAGCGUGACGGCGCGAGCAGGUGCGAAAGCAGGUCAUAGUGAUCCGGUGGUUCUGAAUGGAAGGGCCAUCGCUCAACGGAUAAAAGGUACUCCGGGGAUAACAGGCUGAUACCGCCCAAGAGUUCAUAUCGACGGCGGUGUUUGGCACCUCGAUGUCGGCUCAUCACAUCCUGGGGCUGAAGUAGGUCCCAAGGGUAUGGCUGUUCGCCAUUUAAAGUGGUACGCGAGCUGGGUUUAGAACGUCGUGAGACAGUUCGGUCCCUAUCUGCCGUGGGCGCUGGAGAACUGAGGGGGGCUGCUCCUAGUACGAGAGGACCGGAGUGGACGCAUCACUGGUGUUCGGGUUGUCAUGCCAAUGGCACUGCCCGGUAGCUAAAUGCGGAAGAGAUAAGUGCUGAAAGCAUCUAAGCACGAAACUUGCCCCGAGAUGAGUUCUCCCUGACCCUUUAAGGGUCCUGAAGGAACGUUGAAGACGACGACGUUGAUAGGCCGGGUGUGUAAGCGCAGCGAUGCGUUGAGCUAACCGGUACUAAUGAACCGUGAGGCUUAACCUUACAACGCCGAAG